GGGUGUAGGGAUGUAGGGACUGGGAUGUAGGGAUGUAGGGGUGUAGGGGUGUAGGGACUGGGAUGGGGGGAUGUAGGGGUAUAGGGACUGGGAUGUAGGGGUGUAGGGGUGUAGGGAUGUAGGGAUGUAGGGGUGUAGGGAUGUAGGGAUGUAGGGGUGUAGGGACUGGGAUGUAGGGGUGUAGGGGUGUAGGGAUGUAGGGACUGGGAUGUAGGGGUGUAGGGGUGUAGGGACUGGGAUGUAGGGAUGUAGGGGUGUAGGGACUGGGAUGUAGGGAUGUAGGGGUGUAGGGAUGUAGGGAUGUAGGGACUGGGAUGUAGGGGUGUAGGGACUGGGAUGUAGGGAUGUAGGGGUGUAGGGAUGUAGGGAUGUAGGGGUGUAGGGAUGUAGAGAUGUAGGGAUGUAGGGGUGUAGGGAUGUAGGGAUGUAGGGACUGGGAUGUAGAGAUGUAGGGAUGUAGGGACUGGGAUGUAGAGAUGUAGGGAUGUAGGGGUGUAGGGAUUUAGGGAUGUAGGGACUGGGAUGUAGGGGUGUAGGGACUGGGAUGUAGGGAUGUAGGGGUGUAGAGAUGUAGGGAUGUAGGGGUGUAGGGGUGUAGGGAUGUAGGGAUGUAGGGGUGUAGGGGUGUAGGGAUGUAGGGAUGUAGGGGUGUAGGGGUGUAGGGGUGUAGGGAUGUAGGGAUGCAGGGAUGUAGGGGUGUAGGGAUGUAGGGAUGUAGGGGUGUAGGGAUGUAGGGGUGUAGGGGUGUAGGGAUGUAGGGAUGUAGGGGUGUAGGGAUGUAGGGAUGUAGGGAUGUAGGGGUGUAGGGAUGUAGGGAUAUAGGGACUGGGGUGUAGAGGGAUGUAGGGGUGUAGGGAUGUAGGGAUGUAGGGAUGUAGGGGUGUAGGGAUGUAGGGAUGUAGGGGUGUAGGGAUGUAGGGAUGUAGAGAUGUAGGGAUGUAGGGGUGUAGGGGUGUAGGGAUGUAGGGGUGUAGGGGUGUAGGGAUGUAGGGAUGUAGGGAUGUAGGGGUGUAGGGGUGUAGGGAUGUAGGGGUGUAGGGACUGGGAUGUAGGGAUGUAGGGAUGUAGGGACUGGGAUGUAGGGAUGUAGGGAUGUAGGG
ensembl:lncRNA